GUUUUAUUCACUUUGUUAAGCAAUUUCUAGGGAGUCUACAUCCUGUAUCUGACAAAACAAAGUGCUGAAGGGAGAAGCACACAGGUUUGUGGAGUGUUGGAAUGAUUCUUCAGCUGCCUUGAGCUGAAUGUAGUUCCUAACAGAUGAAAAACAAUUUUUUUCACUUGAGAUAACUGCAAGCAGCCAAAUGAUUACAUUCAGACUUUCCAAAGCUUGAAAAUAUUUGCUUCUGAGUCACAGCCAAACAUGAGUAACUGCUGCCCAGAAGGGAUAUUGUUGUUUGGAAAGAGAGAGACAGCGAUAACUGAUUGCCAUGCUGAGCCUGGAAAUUCCAUCUCAACCUUAUCUUCAGCAUCAUGCUUUUGCAGCGCUCUCACGAGCUCCACCACUGCUGAAGCAGCAAUCCAGGAGCCACAGACUCACCUUUAUGAUGCAACAAACUGCUCCAACAAAAAUUGUGUAUUCUGGACUGCUUUUGAAAUACUGAUGCUAAACCCAGAGAGCCAUGACUGUCUACUGUUACAAGUAUUAACAAGGUAAAAGAAAUCAUGUUUUUUAAAGAAUUACUCUUUUUGUCACCUCCCAUGCUGCUCUGCUGUGGCAGUGGCAGCUCCUACAUUUAUAGCAGCAUCUUGGUUUGGAUGUUCUCUAAAUCAGAUUUCACCUUGAUAGCAGAUUUGUAACACGCUGAGUUGUUUUCCUCAAGCAGAGGUUCUGGAGCUGGAAAGAGGCAGCUGCACUGCACCCAGCCAGUACUAAACACUUCUAGAAAGCAUGGUACUACAGUCAUUCAUCUAUAAACCACCUCCAUAUAGGCUCCCCCAAGUUCCUCCUGCAGAUGUAUGCUUUUACCAGGACUAGCUAGCCCAGAUGUCCCUGUUCUUUGCUGGGACCUCACACCCACCCACUUCCCUUUCCUGAAACAGCAUGCCAAGGAGCAUGAUGGAUCACACAAGCCCAUGCCCAGACAUCUGUUUGCUUUCUGUUUGGAAAAACAGCUUUUCACAUUACAUAGCCCAGUGUGCAUGCCAUCAGCCAUCCGCAGUGUGUCUGUACUGUGAUGAUACAGGAGCCUCUUGUUGGCAGCACUCAGUGUUUUCAAAAGCACUUCAGUGUUGAGAGGUCUGAGUGCUGAGAGGGGUGGGUUGAACUGAGGAUAUGAACUGGUCACUCACUAGAAAUGUGAAGGGAAUUAAGGUGUGUGACUGUGAUGGGAUGCAAACUUUUAAUAGUAUUUGGUCCCUGGUUCUCACUGUGAGAGAACCAGAAGAGUGCAAAGGAAGAGUCAAAGAGCUGUGAAAUAAAUAUUCAUGAGGGGUGUGUAUGAUUCCCCUG
rnacentral:lncRNA from 1 species